GGGAAUUUUAUUUUAUGUAGAACCUAAAUAUUUUUAAACCAGAACACAGGGCUUGGCUAGCCGUUAAUGCCUGUAGAAUUGCUCAGACGCAGAAGAAUCUUUGAUCUCGUUUUGCUAAUUUAUUCAUGGUAGUGAAUGUAAAUCAUGCCCAGCUCGUGCAUUGAGGUCUCAAAGUCCUUUUCUAAUUAGUAAGCUAUACUCUCUAGUAACUCCUUGAUCACCACAGGCUGCUCUAUGCAAUCUUUAAGCACACUAUCAAGUUGGUAGCUGAUCCCAAUAUCAGAGACUGAGACUUUCGCCCAGAUACAGGAUAAAAUGACAACAGCAAGAACUGCUAUCCAAGAAGCAUUAUCCAUUUGUGCACGAGGCUCCUUUAAUUCCCACAAAGCACUUGGAAUUCCAGUUUUGUU
rnacentral:misc_RNA from 1 species